GGGCUCUUAGCUCAGCGGUAGAGCAACCGGCUCAUAACCGGUCGGCCGCUGGUUCGAAUCCAGCAGGGCCCA
rnacentral:tRNA from 1 species